GACGAACGCUGGCGGCGUGCCUAAUACAUGCAAGUCGAACGAAACUUUCUUACGCCGUCUGCUUGCCUUCACCGUACGAAGGUGAGUGGCGUACGGGUGAGUAACACGUGGGUAACUUGCGUAAAAGAAGGGGAUAUAACUUGGAAACAGGUGCUAAUACCGUAUAUCUCUAAGGUCCGAAUGAUCCUUAGCUGAAAGAUGUUUCUGCUAUCGCUUUUAUCUUGACCCGCGGCGGAUUAACUAGUUGGUGGGGUAACGGCCUACCAAGGUGAUGAUACGUAGCUGAACUGAGAGGAUGAUCAGCCACACUGGAACUGAGACACGGCCCAAACUCCUACGGGAGGCAGCAGUAGGGAAUCUUGCACAAUGGACGAAAGUCUGAUGGAGCAACGCCGCGUGAGUGAAGAAGGUCUUCGGAUCGUAAAGCUCUGUUGGUAGGGAAGAACACGAGUGAGUGUAAAUGUUCAUUUGAUGACGUUAUCUAAACAGCAAGUCACGGCUAACUACGUG
rnacentral:rRNA from 1 species